GAGCAAUCCCUGAGUACAGUGGCGUACGGGUGAGUAACACGUGGGUAAUCUGCCCUUUGGUGGGGAAUAACCCUGGGAAACCGGGGCUAAUACCGCAUAAGUCCGAGAGGAGAAAGCAGCAAUGCGCCGAAGGAGGAGCCCGCGGCCGAUUAGCUAGUUGGUAGGGUAAAGGCCUACCAAGGCAAAGAUCGGUAGCCGGCCUGAGAGGGCACACGGCCACACUGGCACUGAAACACGGGCCAGACUCCUACGGGAGGCAGCAGUGGGGAAUCUUGCACAAUGGGGGAAACCUUGAUGCAGCGACGCCGCGUGAGCGAUGAAGCCCUUCGGGGUGUAAAGCUCUUUCGGCAGGGAAGAUGAUGACGGUACCUGCAGAAGCAGCUGCGGCUAACUACGUGCCAGCAGCCGCGGUAA
rnacentral:rRNA from 1 species